rnacentral:rRNA from 1 species
GAUGAACGCUAGCGGCAGGCUUAAUACAUGCAAGUCGAGGGGGCAGCAAUGUCACCGGCGGACGGGUGCGUAACGCGUAUGAAACCUACCUUUAUCAGGGGGAUAGCCCGGGGAAACCCGGAUUAAUACCGCAUAACAUAUUAAACGGCAUCGUUUAAUAUUGAAAGAUUUAUCGGAUAGAGAUGGUCAUGCGUAGGAUUAGCUAGUUGGUAAGGUAACGGCUUACCAAGGCGACGAUCCUUAGGGGCUCUGAGAGGAGUAACCCCCACACUGGCACUGAGAUACGGGCCAGACUCCUACGGGAGGCAGCAGUAGGGAAUAUUGGGCAAUGGGCGAGAGCCUGACCCAGCCAUGCCGCGUGCAGGAAGACGGCCCUCUGGGUUGUAAACUGCUUUUGAAUGGGAAGAACGGUAGGCCUGCGGGCUUAAUUGACGGUACCAUUAGAAUAAGCCACGGCUAACUACGUGCCAGCAGCCGCGGUAAGAC